rnacentral:rRNA from 1 species
UACAGAGGUCUCAAGCGUUGUUCGGAUUCAUUGGGCGUAAAGGGUGCGUAGGUGGCGCCGUAAGUCGGGUGUGAAAUUUCGGAGCUUAACUCCGAAACUGCAUUCGAUACUGCGGUGCUUGAGGACUGGAGAGGAGACUGGAAUUCAUGGUGUAGCAGUGAAAUGCGUAGAGAUGCGGAGGAACACCGAUGGCGAAGGCAGCCCCCUGGGCCAAUACUGACGCUCAGGCACGAAAGCGUGGGGAGCAAACAGG